rnacentral:rRNA from 1 species
GAUGAACGCUAGCGGCAGGCCUAAUACAUGCAAGUCGGACGGGAUUUGGGAGCUUGCUCCUAAUGAGAGUGGCGCACGGGUGCGUAACACGUAUGUAACCUACCUUAGUCAGGGGGAUAGCCUCUCGAAAGAGAGAUUAAGACCGCAUAACAUUAUUGAGUGGCAUCAUUUAAUAAUCAAAUAUUUAUAGGACUAAGAUGGGCAUGCGGAACAUUAGCUAGUUGGUAGGGUAACGGCCUACCAAGGCUACGAUGUUUAGGGGAUCUGAGAGGAUGGCCCCCCACACUGGUACUGAGACACGGACCAGACUCCUACGGGAGGCAGCAGUAAGGAAUAUUGGUCAAUGGGCGGAAGCCUGAACCAGCCAUGCCGCGUGCAGGAAGACGGCCCUACGGGUUGUAGACUGCUUUUAUACGGGAAUAAAGUUAGCCACGUGUGGUUAUUUGUAGGUACUGUAUGAAUAAGGACCGGCUAAUUCCGUGCCAGCCGCCGCCGUAA